rnacentral:rRNA from 1 species
GAUGAACGCUGGCGGCGUGCCUAAUACAUGCAAGUCGAACGAACAGACGAGGAGCUUGCUCCUCUGACGUUAGCGGCGGACGGGUGAGUAACACGUGGAUAACCUACCUAUAAGACUGGGAUAACUUCGGGAAACCGGAGCUAAUACCGGAUAAUAUAUUGAACCGCAUGAUUCAAUAGUGAAAGACGGUUUUGCUGUCACUUAUAGAUGGAUCCGCGCCGCAUUAGCUAGUUGGUAAGGUAACGGCUUACCAAGGCAACGAUGCGUAGCCGACCUGAGAGGGUGAUCGGCCACACUGGAACUGAGACACGGUCCAGACUCCUACGGGAGGCAGCAGUAGGGAAUCUUCCGCAAUGGGCGAAAGCCUGACGGAGCAACGCCGCGUGAGUGAUGAAGGUCUUCGGAUCGUAAAACUCUGUUAUUAGGGAAGAACAAAUGUGUAAGUAACUAUGCACGUCUUGACGGUACCUAAUCAGAAAGCCACGGCUAACUACGUG